AACGAACGCUGGCGGCAUGCCUAACACAUGCAAGUCGAACGAGACCUUCGGGUCUAGUGGCGCACGGGUGCGUAACGCGUGGGAACCUGCCCUUAGGUUCGGAAUAACUCCCCGAAAGGGGUGCUAAUACCGGAUAAUGUCUUCGGACCAAAGAUUUAUCGCCUUUGGAUGGGCCCGCGUUGGAUUAGCUAGUUGGUAGGGUAAAAGCCUACCAAGGCGACGAUCCAUAGCUGGUCUGAGAGGAUGAUCAGCCACACUGGGACUGAGACACGACCCAGACUCCUACGGGAGGCAGCAGUGGGGAAUAUUGGACAAUGGGCGAAAGCCUGAUCCAGCAAUGCCGCGUGAGUGAUGAAGGCCUUAGGGUUGUAAAGCUCUUUUACCCGGGAUGAUAAUGACAGUACCGGGAGAAUAAGCACCGGCUAACUCCGUG
rnacentral:rRNA from 1 species